AGGGCAGCAAGUUCGCGAGGACAAGCAAAUCCCAUAAACCGUAGCUCAGUUCAGAUCGUAGGCUGCAACUCGCCUACGUGAAGGAGGAAUCGCUAGUAAUCGCAGGUCAGCAUACUGCGGUGAAUACGUUCCCGGGCCUU
rnacentral:rRNA from 1 species